AGAGUUUGAUCAUGGCUCAGAUUGAACGCUGGCGGUAGGCUUAACACAUGCAAGUCGUGCGAGAAAGUAUCUUCGGAUAUGAGUAGAGCGGCGGACGGGUGAGUAACGCGUAGGAAUCUACCUAGUAGAAGGGGAUAGCCCGGGGAAACCCGGAUUAAUACCGUAUACCUCCUUCGGGAGAAAGAAGGCCUCUCUUUGAAGCUUUCGCUACUAGAUGAGCCUGCGUAAGAUUAGCUUGUUGGUGAGGUAAAGGCUCACCAAGGCAACGAUCUUUAGCUGGUCUGAGAGGACGAUCAGCCACAUUGGGACUGAGACACGGCCCAGACUCCUACGGGAGGCAGCAGUGGGGAAUAUUGGACAAUGGGCGCAAGCCUGAUCCAGCCAUACCGCGUGUGUGAAGAAGGCCUUCGGGUUGUAAAGCACUUUAAGCAGGGAGAAAAAGUUAUAAGCUAAUACCUUAUAACCUUGAUGUUACCUGCAGAAUAAGCACCGGCUAAUUCCGUGCCAGCAGCCGCGGUAAUACGGAAGGUGCAAGCGUUAAUCGGAAUUACUGGGCGUAAAGCGCGCGUAGGUGGUUUGUUAAGUUGGAUGUGAAAGCCCUGGGCUCAACCUAGGAACUGCAUCCAAAACUAACUCACUAGAGUACGAUAGAGGGAGGUAGAAUUCAUAGUGUAGCGGUGGAAUGCGUAGAUAUUAUGAAGAAUACCAGUGGCGAAGGCGGCCUCCUGGAUCUGUACUGACACUGAGGUGCGAAAGCGUGGGUAGCGAACAGGAUUAGAUACCCUGGUAGUCCACGCCGUAAACGAUGUCAACUAUCUGUUGGAAAGCAUUGCUUUUCAGUGGAGCAGCUAACGUAAUAAGUUGACCGCCUGGGGAGUACGGCCGCAAGGCUAAAACUCAAAUGAAUUGACGGGGACCCGCACAAGCGGUGGAGCAUGUGGUUUAAUUCGAUGCAACGCGAAAAACCUUACCUAUGCUUGACAUACUUGGAAUACUUUGUAAUGAAGUAGUGCCUUCGGGAGCCAAGAUACAGGUGCUGCAUGGCUGUCGUCAGCUCGUGUCGUGAGAUGUUCCGU
rnacentral:rRNA from 1 species